rnacentral:rRNA from 1 species
UACAGAGGUCUCAAGCGUUGUUCGGAAUUACUGGGCGUAAAGGGCUCGUAGGUGGCCAACUAAGUCAGACGUGAAAUCCCUCGGCUUAACCGGGGAACUGCGUCUGAUACUGGAUGGCUUGAGAUUGGGAGAGGGACGCGGAAUUCCAGGUGUAGCGGUGAAAUGCGUAGAUAUCUGGAGGAACACCGGUGGCGAAGGCGGCGUCCUGGACCAACACUGACACUGAGGAGCGAAAGCCAGGGGAGCAAACGGG